rnacentral:lncRNA from 1 species
GCUUAGGCAAGGCCCAAGUAAACCCCAAAAAACAAGUGAAUAACAGACGUGUGACAAGCUGACCAACACCAGUUGCUGUUUCAGACGAUGGGGUGUAUGAUGUACGUUUAACUGUACGGGACCGGUGGUGUGGGGUGGUAAUUACACUUUUAACCCAACUUCUAGUAGUAAAGAAUGAGUGAUUCGCGUUCUGGCCCAGCAACAUGUAAGCUGUUGUAAGGCCUAGAAGUGCGUUCAUCUGGCCUUUAGUUAGUUGCAAUGGAAGUGAUUCGCGUUCUGGCCCAGCAACAUAUAAGCUGUUGUAAGGCCUAGAAGUGCGUUCAUCUGGUGUUUAGUUAGUUACGCUAGAAGUGAUUCGCGUUCUGGUCCAGCAACAUGUAAGUUGUUGUAAGGCCUAGAAGUGCGUUCAUCCAUGCCCAUUGAAUCUUUACUUAUUAAUCAGCUUAAAAGUUUAAUGUAAAAGUAAGUAAUGCCUUGUUUUUCAUUUACUUGUGAUGCCGAGUUAUUCUUCAAGUGGAAGUUGGUGCUUCACCUGCAAGUCGAAGAUGGUGCUGGAGGUGGUGCGGGCGCUGGAGCUGGAGGUUGAGCUGGCGCUGGAGCUGGUGCGGGGGCUGGACCUGGAGCUGGCGGUAUUUGAUGAGCGAACUAUAUGACAGUAUAAUUUGUUUUGCAUCCGUCAUUGUAGUGUUUUGUAUUCUGCCUUGUACACUAGCCCAUCAUUCACCUUUUCAA